CCUACGGGAGGCAGCAGUGGGGAAUAUUGCACAAUGGGGGAAACCCUGAUGCAGCGACGCCGCGUGAGUGAAGAAGUAUUUCGGUAUGUAAAGCUCUGUCAGCAGGGAAGAAAAUGACGGUACCUGAACAAGAAGCCCCGGCGAACUACGUGCCAGCAGCCGCGGUAAUACGUAGGGGGCAAGCGUUAUCCGGAUUUACUGGGUGUAAAGGGGGCGUAGACGGCAGGGCAAGUCUGGAGUGAAAGGCGGGGGCUCAACCCCCGGACUGCUCUGGAAACUGCCAGGCUGGAGUGCAGGAGAGGUAAGUGGAAUGCCUAGUGUAGCGGUGAAAUGCGUAGAUAUUAGGAGGAACACCAGUGGCGAAGGCGGCUUACUGGACUGUAACUGACGUUGAGGCUCGAAAGCGUGGGGAGCAAACAGGAUUAGAUACCCCAGUAGUC
rnacentral:rRNA from 1 species